rnacentral:rRNA from 1 species
UUAGAUUAAGUUAUUAAGGGCGCACGGUGAAUGCCUUGGCACUAGAAGCCGAUGAAGGACGUUACUAACGACGAUAUGCUUUGGGUAGCUGUAAGUAAGCGUUGAUCCAGAGAUUUCCGAAUGGGGUAACCCAACACAAGUUAUGUUGUGUUAUCGACAAGUGAAUUCAUAGCUUGUCAGAAGGCAGACCCGGAGAACUGAAACAUCUUAGUACCCGGAGGAAGAGAAAGAAAAUUCGAUUCCCUGAGUAGCGGCGAGCGAAACGGGAAGAGCCCAAACCAAUAAGCUUGCUUAUUGGGGUUGUAGGACACUCUAUACGGAGUUACAAAGGAAUAUAUUAAACGAAUCAUCUGGAAAGUUGAAUCAAAGAAGGUAAUAAUCCUGUAGUUGAAAAUAUAUUCUCUCUUGAGUGGAUCCUGAGUACGACGGAGCACGUGAAAUUCCGUCGGAAUCUGGGAGGACCAUCUCCUAAGGCUAAAUACUCUCUAGUGACCGAUAGUGAACCAGUACCGUGAGGGAAAGGUGAAAAGUACCCCGGAAGGGGAGUGAAAGAGAACUUGAAACCGUGUGCUUACAAGUAGUCAGAGCCCGUUAAUGGGUGAUGGCGUGCCUUUUGUAGAAUGAACCGGCGAGUUACGAUCUGAUGCAAGGUUAAGCAGAAAAUGUGGAGCCGUAGCGAAAGCGAGUCUGAAUAGGGCGUGUAGUAUUUGGUCGUAGACCCGAAACCAGGUGAUCUACCCAUGGUCAGGUUGAAGUUCAGGUAACACUGAAUGGAGGACCGAACCGACUUACGUUGAAAAGUGAGCGGAUGAACUGUGGGUAGCGGAGAAAUUCCAAUCGAACUUGGAGAUAGCUGGUUCUCUCCGAAAUAGCUUUAGGGCUAGCCUCAAGUGAUGAUUAUUGGAGGUAGAGCACUGUUUGGACGAGGGGCCCCUCUCGGGUUACCGAAUUCAGACAAACUCCGAAUGCCAAUUAAUUUAACUUGGGAGUCAGAACAUGGGUGAUAAGGUCCGUGUUCGAAAGGGAAACAGCCCAGACCACCAGCUAAGGUCCCAAAAUAUAUGUUAAGUGGAAAAGGAUGUGGCGUUGCCCAGACAACUAGGAUGUUGGCUUAGAAGCAGCCAUCAUUUAAAGAGUGCGUAAUAGCUCACUAGUCGAGUGACACUGCGCCGAAAAUGUACCGGGGCUAAACAUAUUACCGAAGCUGUGGAUUGUCCUUUGGACAAUGGUAGGAGAGCGUUCUAAGGGCGUUGAAGCAUGAUCGCAAGGACAUGUGGAGCGCUUAGAAGUGAGAAUGCCGGUGUGAGUAGCGAAAGACGGGUGAGAAUCCCGUCCACCGAUUGACUAAGGUUUCCAGAGGAAGGCUCGUCCGCUCUGGGUUAGUCGGGUCCUAAGCUGAGGCCGACAGGCGUAGGCGAUGGAUAACAGGUUGAUAUUCCUGUACCACCUAUAAUCGUUUUAAUCGAUGGGGGG